rnacentral:rRNA from 1 species
UUGACCUCGAUCAUGUAGGAUACCCGCUGAACUUAAGCAUA